UAGGAUCAUCGUGGGGAUAGAUGAAUCUCGAGUCUACAGUGUGGAGACACUGAAGCGAAAGUGCAGAUAUUUGUUAGAAAACAAAGAUACCGAGCGUGAUUAAUAUGAAAAGUCACUUGAAUGUUUACUCACUCGUCAGUGAUAUUCUCGAUGCUGUAGUAGUGUAAAUGGUUCUUUGAUCUGUGGUACCUUAACUGUUCACAAUGAGAUUGCUGUAGUUUGACUAUACCAUA
rnacentral:lncRNA from 1 species